rnacentral:rRNA from 1 species
AGACGUAUCCUACGGAAGGCAGCAGUGGGGAAUAUUGCACAAUGGGGGGAACCCUGAUGCAGCGACGCCGCGUGAAGGAAGAAGUAUUUCGGUAUGUAAACUUCUAUCAGCAGGGAAGAAAAUGACGGUACCUGACUAAGAAGCCCGGCUAACUACGUGCC